GUGGGGAAUUUUGGACAAUGGGCGCAAGCCUGAUCCAGCAAUGCCGCGUGUAGGAAGAAGGCCUUCGGGUUGUAAACUGCUUUUGUACGGAACGAAACGGCUCUGGUUAAUACCUGGGGCUAAUGACGGUACCGUAAGAAUAAGCACCGGCUAACUACGUGCCAGCAGCCGCGGUAAUACGUAGGGUGCAAGCGUUAAUCGGAAUUACUGGGCGUAAAGCGUGCGCAGGCGGUUUUGUAAGACAGGCGUGAAAUCCCCGGGCUCAACCUGGGAAUGGCGCUUGUGACUGCAAGGCUGGAGUGCGGCAGAGGGGGAUGGAAUUCCGCGUGUAGCAGUGAAAUGCGUAGAUAUGCGGAGGAACACCGAUGGCGAAGGCAAUCCCCUGGGCCUGCACUGACGCUCAUGCACGAAAGCGUGGGGAGCAAACAGGAUUAGAUACCCGGGUAGUCC
rnacentral:rRNA from 1 species